AAAACUUUCAACAACGGAUGUCUUGGCACAUACAACGAUGAAGAACGCAGCGAAAUGCGAUAAGUAAUGUGAAUUGCAGAAUUCCGUGAAUCAUCGAAUCUUUGAACGCACAUUGCGCCCUUUGGUAUUCCGAAGAGCAUGCCUGUUCGAGCGUCAUUG
rnacentral:rRNA from 1 species